rnacentral:rRNA from 1 species
UACAGAGGUCCCAAGCGUUGUUCGGAUUCACUGGGCGUAAAGGGUGCGUAGGCGGUCGGGUAAGUCUGAUGUGAAAUCUCACAGCUUAACUGUGAAACUGCAUUGGAUACUAUCCGGCUCGAGGAAUGGAGGGGAGACUGGAAUACUUGUGUAGCGAGUGAAAUGCGUAGAUAUCAAGUGGAACACCAGUGGCGAAGGCGGCUAUCUGGGCUGAAACUGACGCUGAGGCGCGAAGGCUAGGGUAGCAAACAGG